UGGGAAGUAUUGCAUCAAUGGCAGGCAAGCCAUGACUGCAGCCAUGCCGCGCUGUAUGAAGAAGCCAAUUCGGGCUUUGGUUAAAGAUACUUUCAGCGAGGAGGAAGGUGUUGUGGUUAAUAACCACAGCAAUUGACGUUACUCGCAGAAGAAGCACCGGCUAACUCCGUGCCAGCAGCCGCGGUAAUACGGAGGGUGCAAGCGUUAAUCGGAAUUACUGGGCGUAAAGCGCACGCAGGCGGUCUGUCAAGUCGGAUGUGAAAUCCCCGGGCUCAACCUGGGAACUGCAUCCGAAACUGGCAGGCUAGAGUCUUGUA
rnacentral:rRNA from 1 species